rnacentral:rRNA from 1 species
AACGUAGGAGACAAACGUUAUCCGGAGUUACUGGGCGUAAAGGGCGUGCAGGUGGUCUGUUAAGUCUGGCGUGAAUGCUCCUGGCUAAACCGGGAGAGGUCGUUGGAUACUGGCGGACUAGAGGACGGUAGAGGCGUGUGGAAUUCCGGGUGUAGUGGUGAAAUUCGUAGAUAUUAGGAAGAACACCGGUGGCGAAGGCGGCCCACUGGUCCGGUACUGACGCUGAGGUGCGAAAGCGUGGGGAGCGAACAGG